GGACAGGUGGUUUGGUGGUAGAAUUCUUGCUUUCCAUGCAAGAGACCCAGGUUCAAUUCCCAGCUGUCUU
rnacentral:tRNA from 1 species